GAUAGCCUGCUCGCAGCCUGAAAUUUAGAAGGGGAAAAUUUCAGUUGAAAUUUUCCCCUUCUAAAUUUCGGGCUGCGAGCAGGCUACAG